UACUACGGUCAUGCCACCCUGAACGAGCCCUAUCCCAUCUGAUUUUGGAAGCAAAGCAGGGUCGGGCCAGUUUAGUACUUGGAUGGGAGACCACCUAGGAAGACCAGGUGCUGUAGGUG
rnacentral:rRNA from 1 species